AGAGUUUGAUCCUGGCUCAGAUUGAACGCUGGCGGCAUGCCUUACACAUGCAAGUCGAACGGCAGCACGGGUGCUUGCACCUGGUGGCGAGUGGCGAACGGGUGAGUAAUAUAUCGGAACGUACCCUAGAGUGGGGGAUAACGUAGCGAAAGUUACGCUAAUACCGCAUACGAUCUACGGAUGAAAGUGGGGGAUCGCAAGACCUCAUGCUCAUGGAGCGGCCGAUAUCUGAUUAGCUAGUUGGUGGGGUAAAAGCCUACCAAGGCGACGAUCAGUAGCUGGUCUGAGAGGACGACCAGCCACACUGGAACUGAGACACGGUCCAGACUCCUACGGGAGGCAGCAGUGGGGAAUUUUGGACAAUGGGGGCAACCCUGAUCCAGCAAUGCCGCGUGAGUGAAGAAGGCCUUCGGGUUGUAAAGCUCUUUUGUCAGGGAAGAAACGGGAUUUUCUAAUACAAAGUCCUAAUGACGGUACCUGAAGAAUAAGCACCGGCUAACUACGUGCCAGCAGCCGCGGUAAUACGUAGGGUGCAAGCGUUAAUCGGAAUUACUGGGCGUAAAGCGUGCGCAGGCGGUUGUGCAAGACAGAUGUGAAAUCCCCGGGCUCAACCUGGGAAUUGCAUUUGUGACUGCACGGCUAGAGUGUGUCAGAGGGGGGUAGAAUUCCACGUGUAGCAGUGAAAUGCGUAGAGAUGUGGAGGAAUACCGAUGGCGAAGGCAGCCCCCUGGGAUAACACUGACGCUCAUGCACGAAAGCGUGGGGAGCAAACAGGAUUAGAUACCCUGGUAGUCCACGCCCUAAACGAUGUCUACUAGUUGUCGGGUCUUAAUUGACUUGGUAACGCAGCUAACGCGUGAAGUAGACCGCCUGGGGAGUACGGUCGCAAGAUUAAAACUCGAAGGAAUUGACGGGGACCCGCACAAGCGGUGGAUGAUGUGGAUUAAUUCGAUGCAACGCGAAAAACCUUACCUACCCUUGACAUGUACGGAACUUACCAGAGAUGGUUUGGUGCUCGAAAGAGAACCGUAACACAGGUGCUGCAUGGCUGUCGUCAGCUCGUGUCGUGAGAUGUUGGGUUAAGUCCCGCAACGAGCGCAACCCUUGUCAUUAGUUGCUACGAAAGGGCACUCUAAUGAGACUGCCGGUGACAAACCGGAGGAAGGUGGGGAUGACGUCAAGUCCUCAUGGCCCUUAUGGGUAGGGCUUCACACGUCAUACAAUGGUACAUACAGAGGGCCGCCAACCCGCGAGGGGGAGCUAAUCCCAGAAAGUGUAUCGUAGUCCGGAUUGUAGUCUGCAACUCGACUACAUGAAGUUGGAAUCGCUAGUAAUCGCGGAUCAGCAUGUCGCGGUGAAUACGUUCCCGGGUCUUGUACACACCGCCCGUCACACCAUGGGAGCGGGUUUCACCAGAAGUAGGUAGCCUAACCGCAAGGAGGGCGCUUACCACGGUGGGAUUCGUGACUGGGGUGAAGUCGUAACAAGGUA
rnacentral:rRNA from 1 species